AUAUCCCCAAAUUUCACUUCGCUCGAAAUCCCCGAAUCCAAUCCGAACCGGCAGCGGCAGCCAUGACGCCCUCCGCCCUCGCCCACCUAGCCUCCGCCUCGCCGCUCCCCGCCUUCUCCCCCAAGCCCAGGGCGAGGCCCGGCUCGGCGGCGGGGCCCGCGCUGCGGCGGCUGGCGGUGGCGGCGCCGGCGCCGCGGGCGUACUUCUCGUCGUCGCCCAUGCCGUACCAGCCGCAGCCGCAGCAGCCGGCGGGGUACUCGUCGCACCAGGCGUUCGGCCUGGUGCCGAUGGUCAUCGAGACCACCUCGCGCGGGGAGAGGGCGUACGACAUCUUCUCGCGCCUGCUCAAGGAGCGGAUCGUGCUCAUCCACGGGCCAAUCGCCGACGAGACCGCCUCGCUCGUCGUCGCGCAGCUGCUCUUCCUCGAGUCGGAGAACCCGCUCAAGCCGGUCCACCUCUACAUCAACUCCCCGGGCGGGGUCGUCACCGCGGGGCUCGCGAUCUACGACACCAUGCAGUACAUCCGCUGCCCCGUCACCACGCUCUGCAUCGGCC
rnacentral:lncRNA from 1 species